ensembl:lncRNA
GUGAGACUUUCAGGGGACUGCGUUUCUCUUUCGGUUUCACUUUUGGGCUUGCAUACAGACCACUGCUGUACCGGCUGGCUAGGCUGCUCUGUGCUCCCGGCUCCUAGCAAACCUGCUGCCCCACACAAGCGUGUUCCAGCGGCCAGGGAGCUGCUCAGAACAGUCUGCCCAGCUUGGAGGCAGUUUCUAGCUGCCUAGAGGUGAGUAGGCCUAGGCUUUCAGCAACAUACUGAUAAUGACUUGCUGUUUUCUGUUACAAGUCACAAAAUGAGAAACUAUCGUAGACUCCUGAGAGCUGAUAGAGCCUUGAUUUUGAGCUAAUGUUCUGAAAAGCCCACUGUGAGGUUUCUGCAUUCCCAUGUGAAAGAGUUACACAAAACUGGCCAAUGAAGUUCAUUCUCACGGCCACCAAAGCUAAAUAGUGUGGCCUUGCUAGUUUUCAGGGGCAUCAUGUUAGCCAUGAGAAGUUCUGAACCAUUGACCCGGCUCAGCUACUUCCUAUUUUUAAGGUCUGAGUUUUACCUACUCUUUAGAAAGUCUCCUUUAACCUAUUUUAGCCUGUUUGUAGGAUCUGUCUCCCUUCAUGAUUUCCUUUCUGAAAGAGGAAAUUGGUUUGAAAGUCCUUUCAAAGUAGUUUUGCUUAUAGUAGACACAAAUAUCUUUAGGACUGAAGGGGAAAAUACAAUCCAACAUGGAUUUAAAAGAAAUUUACAUUUAAGAGUAGUUAAAAUUAGUUCGUUGGGUAUUUCUUUUUUUUGCAAGAGGAAGCAGUGAAUAUAAAUAAGGACUUUGAUACUAGAUGGGAAAAUCAGAUCAACACUUUUAUAGUAAGUUUGCAAUGCAUCAUGACAGACCUAAUAAAUCAACCUCAUGAACCUGGGGAUCCACCCUGCACAUAACAUUUAAAAUAUAAACCAGUUCCCUGAGUCAGUGCUCUUCCUCUCUGUGGGUUCUCUGAUGCUUGCUGUGGUAUUUUGUUAGUACCUGUGCUUUAGAUGCAAAUGUGAAUCAUAGGAUAUAUUUUUCUAAGAUGUAUGUAUAUUCUUGUAUUUCUUAUCUUGUCACAUUAUCAAAUUCCCUUAUUUAAAACUUUUUUCUCACAAAGGUAGCAUUUCUUCAAACAACUUGAAACAAAAUUUUUGCCAACUGCAAAAGCUGUGAAACAGGUUGAAAUGUCAAACAGUCCGGAUUUAUUUCUCCACUAAUUACCUCUCCAUCGAUUUCCAUUUAAGUAUCACAGCUCCUAUAUUGACUUUGCGUUGAGUGUGAUGAAAUAGUGGGUGGUUUUUACUGUCCAUUUAUUCUUCUUUCUUUUUAAAUAAUAAAUUAAAAUGUUAUUGUAAAGAACUUGCAAAUGAAAAAUAACUUCUGGUGAUAUCAGACAGACCAAAAGUCCACACAUCUCAAUGGACUUCCUCACAUUUAGAGAAGCCAUUCUGAAGCACACAGCUUCAAAUUGGAAUUCAGAUUUUCACUGUCAAUUACAAUUUUUAUAUACUUAUUCACCAGUCCCUUUUGAGAGUUCUCUUUUUCCAAGGAUUGAUCUUAUGACUACCUUCAGUUAAGACUUUUUUCUUCUUUUUAAUAUGUGAGAUUAUAAUUACAACAGUUCUCCCUAGCUUUCUUCCUCGUGCCAACCCUACCAUAUAAAUUAAGGCAAUUCUAAAAAAAACCAAAACAAACAAUAACAAAAAAACUGGUUUUAGGCUUGUAGAAUAGUGUGUGUGGAUGAUCCAAAAGGAACAGGACUUAAGCUGUCUUCCACAUUGCCCCUCACUGACUCCACCACUCAUGUCUAUCAUUUUCCUAAGUUUUAGAAACAUGAUGUUUUUAAAACUUGCUUUUAGAAACAAGGAAUGUUGGUUUGAAUGAGAUUGGUACCCAUAGGCUCAUGUAUUUGAAUGCUUAGUCCCCAGCUGGAGAAAUAUUUAGGAAAGAUUAAAUAGUGUGUCUUUAUUGGAGUAGGUAUGUCACUGGACUUUGGAGUUUUCCCAAGUCCAAGAUGGGCCCAGCUUACUCUCCCUCCCUUUCUCCUUCCCUCCCUUUCUCCUUCCCUCCCUCCCUCCCUCCCUCCCUCCUUCCCUCCCUCCCUCCCUCCCUCUCUGCCUGCUGCCUGGAGAUCAGACUAUAAACUUUUAGCUACUUCUCCAGAGUCAUGUGUGCUAGCUAGCCUGCAGCCAUGCCAUGAUGACCAUGUACUAACAGUCUGAAACUGUAAGCAAGCCCCAAUUAAAUGCUAUCUUUUAUAAGUUGCCUUGGUUAUAGAGUUUUUUUCACAGCAACAGAAUGGUAGCUAAUAUAUAUGAUAAAUAUUUCUUUGCAGAAUAUUUCCUCUGCUUGUUCCAAUGAGGCAAAUCUACACUUCUGUUUUGCUACCCACAUUGGUAAAGAAAAGUAGCAGUCAUUGGAACCCAUUGCAUGUAGAUACAUCAGGGGCUUAGACCUUCACUGAAACUUGAUAACUAUGGCUGCAGAUGAAAUUAAGGUUGAUAAUUUAUGUUUUUGUGGUAGAGGCUCUCCUAUAUCAUCCAGGUGGGCUCAAAAAAAUUCCCCAAAGUUCUUAGAAGUGGAAGAAAAGUUCAGAAAAGAGUGAAAGACUGAAUUCGGAGUGCCAUACUGCUAGUUUUGGAAAAUAUUCUGUGCAAAGAAUGUGGAUGGCCCCUACAAGUAGAAAAAGAAAGGGAUGGAAAUUAUUGCUUUACCAGCACCCAUAGAGGGAAUGCGACUCUGUGAUAUUUUUGUGUUUUGGUGUUGGAAGACAUUUCAGAUUCCUUAUUUCUAAAAUGAUACUGUAAUAGCAUAUUGCUUAAAACUAAAACUUUGUGAUCUUCUGUUACAGCACAAUAAGAAAUAAAAAUACUUAUAUUCCAGCCACAGACAGUUUGUAUGAGGAGUUCAUAAAUUAUACUACUGCAAAUCAUUCAAGAUCUCUGUUCAGAGAUUCUCAAGUGUUCUGUUACUGCAAAUAUCUCUUUCCAUUUUGACUUUUGUCUUAAUUUGACUGUUGUAUUUAUGUAAUUACAACAGGAUAUAAAUCCAGGCUAUAUAGAAAGGGAUUCUCUUUAAAAUGGAGAGCUAAUAAACAUUCUUUUUUCUUUAGGUAUCUGUAAGAUCACUAUCCCUUGAUAGAGGGAGCCAUUAUGCGGUUAGGGAGAAACCUGGUGCUAUGAAUCCACAAGGCUGACUCCAGCUAAUACUUCUAGCAAUAGUGAACUUAACUGGCCUAUCCCUGUAAUCACAUAGGUGACUACCCUGUCUUCAUAGAAUCUUUAUCCAGUAACUGAUAGCGAUGCAGAGAUCCACAGCUAAUAAACAUUUUUAGGGCAAGAUAUAGGAUAUAAGUCCAGAAUAUAUUUUGAACAAAUCAUAGGUUAGUCAUGUUUAAGGAUCUAAAAUAUAUUUUCAGCAAGAGGAAAAAAUAUUAUUUUACCAUGAAUGCUCUGGCAAUUCCACUCUCCAAUCCCAUAGUGUCUCAUCAGAUAUUGUAAUAUCAAAGGAUUUUCUAAAAGUGGGUCAAUCUCUUAAAUUUUCUAAAUACCAAAAGAAUUUUCUAAAAUCCUUCUGGCUAUACUGAUUUCUCAUUUCUUUCAAGUUACCCUCAUGAUUUCAUAGACCCACUGAUUAUGAAACGAAUGUCUGGUGGCAUAGAGAAAAUUUUAAUAAGGCCCUGAUGCAUUCAUGUUCAGUCAACAAUUUUGUGUUUUCAAAACAAGCUUUACUCACAAAGUCACAAUGACUUUAGAAUAACAAAGUUUUAAUGUUUCUGUAUUGCUGUUUUGACUUGCCUACACACACACACACACACACACACACACACACACACACACACACACACCCCUCAUACCUCUAAAAUGUUUCUAGACUUAAACAGUCAUAUUCAAUUAUGAUUUUUUGCAACUUUGAAAAGGAUUCUCUGGAUGAUAAACCAAGACUUAUAAACCACAGUUAAUAAAGAGCUAAUAAGCCACAGUUAUUAGCUCUCCAUUCUGAGAAUAACAGAAGAGUGUUAUGAUUUGUGCCAUUUCUACUGUGAAGUUUUAAUGUUUGAAAUUAGAUAAGACUCAUGAGUGCAUCCUAAGCCUUGCUGUUGUCAAUUGGCCUUCUGAAUAUCUAUGCUAUUUCCAUAGAUUUGUGCUGUUCUCCAUCUGGGUCAGAGAAGCUUCUUUCUGCAGUGAAUAACGGUUAAUGUAGAGACUCACAACUGGUUAAAGUGAGGGGUUAAUGUGAGUUCUCAGCCACAGAUUAUUCCAGGAGUUAACCUCCGUCAUCUAGAUAUUACGCGUUCUAGAUAUCACAUGGCUGAUGCACAUAUCAAUUCACUGCAGUUGUGGCUACAUGCAUAAUAUUAGGCCGCUAGAAAUCCAGCAUGUACAGUGGAGUGGUUCACAAGCACCGCCUACCACCCCAAAACUGAUGGCUACUCAUGGAAGGGGAGUCAGAUUUAGGGAAAGGAAUGUUGUACAUGUUUCAGUGGAUGGUGACAUACCCAUUUGCAUGUGGGCAGCACUAAAGGGACUGAGGAGGAUAACAUGCAACCACAAUAAUACAAAAGACAUGAAUUUUCUAUAUGGGGACAGAUUGGUGGGUCAUAUGUGUGGUUCAAGGAAAAUAGUGGGAGGAAAUAAGAUCAAAAUAUAAUACACAAAUUUAUUUUAAAGAAUAAAAUUGUAGGUAAAAUAAAUAUUCUGUAAUCUUUGAAUAUAGCACAUGGUAUCUGAAUACCCCUCCAAAAUAUAUUAUUUAAUAACUUACUUCUUAAGAGGGAUAGUUAUUAUGUAUUGAUAUAACUUGCAUAUAAGUAUAUUAUUGUUUAACAUUCUACACUUUGAGUCAUGGGGGGGGAGUAUCCCAUUGUGAAUGAGAAUGUCAUUUUACAUUUUUUUAAAGAAAAAGUUUCUUAUUUCAGGGAACUAAACAAACAUAUAAUUUAUGAUGUCUUUGUUUUCUUUGCUUACAGACACAGGUUGCUAGGUAUCCCUGGCUUGUGUUGAACUCAUGGAAAAUUCCUACUUUGGUCUCACAAGUUUUGGGAUUACAGACAUGAAUCACCACAUAGAAACUGUUUUUUUUUUGUUUUUUGUUUGUUUGUUUUUUUCUGAGACAGGGUCUCACUAUGUAAACCAGGUUGACCUUAAGCUGCUAGAGAUACAUCUGCCUCUGCCUCCCAUAUGCUGGGAUUUAAUUUUUAUCCUACCAUGAACGAUUGUUGACUAUUCUUAAGUGCUAUUAAAGAUAUAUAUGACUUGAACCCUUUACUCCUCAAGAUACUUUUAGUCAUGGUAUUUUACCAUAGCACAAGAAAGACUAACUAAUAGAGUUCUGUUGAUAUUUAGCUCAAAAGCAAUUGCUGAGGUCAAGAAACCUUAAGAAGAAUUUAACUAUGAGGAAGAAAUUGCUUUGAAAGGAUGUAAUUAUUAGUUACAAGGAGUUUGUCAAACUACAAACUUAUACAUAAAAUCUUUACAUUAUACUUGAAUUAGUAAAUGUUAAAGAAUUAUUUCUUUUAAAAUACUUAAUUAGUAAAUUAAAUGAAGUUUCAUUUGGUGGUUUAGAUCUCUAAAUUGUGGAACUCUGUACUAUUUGUAGAGUAAUAUUCUUUCCAACAUUAACAUAGCCCAAUCAAAGCACAUGUUUCAUAAUACCCUAAUAUUUUCCUUUCCUAAAAGCACAAGAUGUAUUAAUACUUGUAUUAUUGUCUAUCAGUAUAGUAUGUAUUGAAAAGACAUAAAAAUGAGACUAAAAUACCAUAGGUGGAAUCAGUUACUUGAUAUUUUUGCAAGUUAAUACAAUUUUAUAAGGAGAUCUUUUCCAUUUGCCUUUUUCCUAUCUUUUUCAUAUAUUUCGACAUUAUUAUAAAAGGAAAUGUUAAAAUAGUACAGAAAAGAAGAUGAAGGGCUUAUGGACAAUGAGGUGCAAAAGAGAGCAGUGAAAGGACUCAGAGGGUAAAAAUGACAAGCCAGAUGACCUAACAUCAAUUCUCUGGACACACAAGAUGGAGAAAGAUUUGACUUCCACAAGUUGUCUUCCCACCCCCAAGUCCAAGUUUGCACUGUGGCUUGUGCACUCAAACUCACAAAUAAAUAAGAAACUAAAUGAAGAAAUGUACUGAGCUCUGAUGAAGAUCCAGUGAGGAUGGUGUACCAAAAUCCCGAUGCCUCUAACUAGACCAAUGAUUCAUUGCAAAGGACAGUUGCCAGUCAAGCUAAUGGAAAAAGGGUGUACUAUAUGACACAUUAAAGUCUCCAAUGGGGUGUUGUUUUGUUCUGUUGUUUGUUGUUUUGGUUUAUUGCUUUUUUAUUAUUGUUUUUGCUUUUGUUCACUUGCUUUCUUACGUUGUUUUGUUUUCUUUCAUCGGGUGUGCAACAGGGAUGAGGGGAUAUGGGGAACCAGGAGGUGAACAGAAUUGGGGUACACGAUGUGAAACCCCCAAUGAUUCAAUAAAGAAGUUUUUUAAAAAAAGAGUAUAGUUCACUUCCAAGAUUCAAAAAGACUAUAAUGAUUUCUUUCACAUGUGCAAUAAACUAGAGACUCUGUGUCUCUCAAAUAGAAAAAAAUGCCAAAAAUUCUAUGUAGGAUUUCCUUGUCUAAAACCUGAAAUUUUCAUUUUCAUGAAUACAAAUAUUUUCUCUAAAGAACUACAAAUUUAUCUCUCUCAUAUAUAUAUAUAUAUAUAUAUAUAUAUAUAUAUAUAUGUGUGUGUGUGUGUGUGUGUGUGUGUGUGUGUGUGUGUGUGUGUUCUCUAUGUACAUAUUUAAAUUUCUCCUGAAACUCAGCAAGUUUGACAAAUAUGAAAUGGAAAAAUCAAAUGUAUGUAUACAUUGCUUCAUUUUUGUUACAGUAAAUGUGCUCAUAUAUUCUCCUAAGUAGAUUUUUUCCCCAUUGGCAUAGCAUUUCCCUUUAUUUAUUCUUGAACGUACUAGUUUUC